GAUGAACGCUGGCGGCGUGCCUAAUACAUGCAAGUCGAGCGAACGGACGAGAAGCUUGCUUCUCUGAUGUUAGCGGCGGACGGGUGAAUAACACGUGGAUAACCUACCUAUAAGACUGGGAUAACUUCGGGAAACCGGAGCUAAUACCGGAUAAUAUUUUGAACCGCAUGGUUCAAAAGUGAAAGACGGUCUUGCUGUCACUUAUAGAUGGAUCCGCGCUGCAUUAGCUAGUUGGUAAGGUAACGGCUUACCAAGGCAACGAUGCAUAGCCGACCUGAGAGGGUGAUCGGCCACACUGGAACUGAGACACGGUCCAGACUCCUACGGGAGGCAGCAGUAGGGAAUCUUCCGCAAAGGGCGAAAGCCUGACGGAGCAACGCCGCGUGAGUGAUGAAGGUCUUCGGAUCGUAAAACUCUGUUAUUAGGGAAGAACAUAUGUGUAAGUAACUGUGCACAUCUUGACGGUACCUAAUCAGAAAGCCACGGCUAACUGCGUG
rnacentral:rRNA from 1 species